GCAUCUGUAGCUCAGGGGAUAGAGCAGUGGUUUCCGGUACCAUGUUUUGCGGGGGUUCGAAUCCCUCCAGAUGCG
rnacentral:tRNA from 1 species